rnacentral:rRNA from 1 species
UCUGGUAGUGAUGGCGGAAAGGUCACACCUGUUCCCAUACCGAACACAGCAGUUAAGCUUUCCAGCGCCGAUGGUAGUUGAGACUUUGUCUCUGCGAGAGUAGGACGCCGCCAGGC